rnacentral:sRNA from 1 species
AUCACUGCAGCACUGUGGCUGUGGACCUGCUAAGUGACUCCUGGGAUUUUGGACUGUGGAUGACUCCAGUUAACCAGAACAGUGGGAAAUGAAACUAUGAGUAAGGAACAUGGUACCUCCAGGAUUCUUUUCUGCUGGUGUGACAAAAUACCAUAAGCAAGCAGAAUGACUGUACCUAUGGCCAUAACGAUGGAUGUUGUCACCGUUUUCCAAGAAUGUCUCAGCAACCACUCCAGCACACACUCCCUGGGCAUCUGUAGCUGACUGAAUGUGGAGUAUCUUGACCAUGAGGCAGAAACUCUGCAUGUUGUUUAGAUGGAAUGAAUUUACUACACCAUGGUGUCCCUUAUCUUGGCGGAGCAUACUCUAGUGUCCCAGAUCUCUUCAGUUUUUGUCAAGAAGACAGAUCCACCCUGACUUAAGGCAGAGCCUUAUCUCAGCACCCCCACUGUUGAAUAUGUCAGUAUGACUGCUGAAACACAUCAAGUCCAAUGUGCCCUGCGUGUGUGCAGCCUCUUGAAGACCUCAGCUGGGUGUCGCAGCUCACUUGGAGGGGAGAUCUUGGUUGCCUCGCGGUGAUACGCAGCUGACAGGGAGCUGUGGCUUGUGGCUGCUGGCCAGCAUCAAGGCGUGUCAUGCCAUGUGUCACUAGCCCAAGAAAAGGUCAAAGUUCAACAUUCUAAGCACCGUUAUUGAGCGGGUGUCAUUGAUACAGCACUAGGGAGUUGAAAUAUCUUCAACUGAAUCACCCUAAGUUGAACAUUGUGCCUCAGAGAAGGUACCCUCACUGCUGUAGGAGUUUUAGCAGAGGAGUCAUGGUGUAGUUUUCGAAGAGCCCAACUUCAUACAUAAUUUGUCAACUUAGCAAUGAAAGUCAGAUGAUUCUUGGAAUGAUGGGGAAGAUAGGACUGCAUCUUAAUGGGAAUUGAAGCUGGUGCUGGUGGAGCUUGCCCUGGUCCCAUGUGCUAUGAUCUCCUCUGCCAUCCCAUGCCAUCCCAUGCCACCCCAUGUCACUCAUGCCAUCCCAUAGGGGAGCGGGGAUGUCUGGAUUUAGUCUCUACUAGUAGAAGCUGUGGUCAGAGAGGGCACCAUCCCAUUUCCUUAACUCUGGAACUGAGCUGGUAUUGGGUCUAGCCUUAACCAACAGGAGUAUAAAGAGUUAUGUAGCAGAGGACAGAGAGUGCUUGCCUUCUGGAACUUUUCCCCCUCCUACUGAUAGGAGAGCACUUUGGACAAUAGCCUUUGCUAGCCAUCUGGACAAAGACAGACCAUACCAAGAGAACCGGGGUAUCCUUGACAAAUCCCAGCCUCCAACUGGACCACAAGAGCAACUUCCCCGAGUCCAGUUGUCACUGCCAACACCCAGAAUCCUAUCUAGUUAAAGGUCAUCAUGGCAGCUAUCAAUGUCACACAGCACAAGCACGUGUGCCUUCUAGUGUGGGGGGAGGGGGGCAGCAUCCAUUCAACCUUAGCUUGGAGUCGCCAUUCCGGCAUGUGGGCCAGGUGUCACCACACUUUGCGGUCGUUCACAAGAAUGAAGAUCUAAGGUAAAACCCUCUGCCCUUUAGGUGAUGUCGGAGGCCGAGUGGAAGUCUAGAGGUGGCUCUGUCUCCUUCAGGACACAACCUUGCUGACAAUUCCAAUGUCUGCUCCCAUUCUUCCCCUCACCCCAGGAAGAGCAGGGACCUGGGGACCUGGGGGGAGAUGGUCAGGGAUCCUGAGCCCCAGGAGAAGGAGGGAGUGAAGGCUCUGCCUUGCUCUACCUUGCUCUGCCUGGGGUGGAUGCUUGCAACAGGGCCAGGAUGCCACCACACAUGUCUGUAAGGGGCCGCUCUCCAUUCAUUCUUCAGGACGCAGACAAAGUUGGUUCUAGAAAUGUUUCAGGUUUGAUGCCCUUUAAAAGACUUUGUACAGUAACAAAUACAUAAAGAGAUCCUUCAGAGGUGAGGGCCAAGUCUAAACACAGACCGUUUUUGUUUAAUAUGUGUGGCUUGAGGUGACUUUAUGCAGUACUUUGGGGCCUGGCUUUGCCUGACUGAUAUCCUAGAUCAAGGGUACCACUUUCCACAUGUGGCAUCACGUUCGGGCUCAGGGUUUUGGAUCCGUGAGCAUUUUUGGGUUUUGGAUUAGGGAAUCUUCAGAUUGUAGUUUACUAUAUAUGUAGAAAAUCCCCGUGUCGGUCUCCCUCACUAGCCUCGGAGGUUGUUGUCGGAAUGCCAAGCUUGGUGUUAUAGUUAGUAUCUUCCCAGGUUAUGGUGCCACUGGGGUGUGGCAGAGGAUGCCAGGGAUGAGGUCUGAUGGGAGGCUGUUGGUUCACUGCCUUCAGAAGCGCUGUUGGGAACCGGGCCCUUCCUGUCCCUCGCUGUGCUUCUCAGCUGCCUUGAAAUGGACAGCGCAUGUCACAUUAUAUGACUGCCGCUUCACUACAGGCCUAGAAGCGAUGACGGCAGCCAACCAUGGACUGAAAUAAUAAGCCGAAAUAAAACCCUUCCCCUUUGUGAGCUGGCUACCCACACCAUCUUGUUAAAGUAACAGAAAGCAAGAGACAGCUGAAGAAUUGGCUUAUCAUCGCCCCACCCCCCAUGCACAGGUGGGUGUGGCUUAAAGUGCCAUGUGACCUAGAGGGCGCCCUUCUCAUCUGAUAGCUUUUCCAUCAGCUUGGCCUGAGGCAGGCUGUACCUUGUCAGUAGUUUCCAGCUCCCUCUCCAUGAGAUUCUGCAUUAGAAUGAGCCAUUGGGUAUAAAGGUUUGUCCAGCUAAGGAAUUAAAAUAUAAUGAAAAUUUCUCACGAAAUUUUAUGGGAAAUGCUACUUAAAAACCAAACCAAAACCUUCCUGUUGGUCAAUCCCAUGGAUCUACUACCUGCUAAACAUGUCAGGAGUUAAGCUUCAUAGAGAAACUGUCCAUUUGGCCCUCUGGUCUGGGGAUAGCAUACUGUCAUCCUUAGGGUUUCUGAGCAAUUAAAGCCACUGGUUAGAGUGCCAUGGCCACUGAGGCUACCUACCUCUGAAAGGAAGUCACAGGACUUUAGUGUGUGUGUAAUCUGGGCCAGGCUGAAGAUCAGAAUAAUUACAGAAGAGUGACCUUAAGCUGGCAUCCAGCCUCCCACUAAGAAACUGAACUCAAAGAUACGUCCCCUACUUUUCCUCAUUCAUCUGAUCCUUCACAGUCUAAGGUUUGUCAUGGAUCUGGAGACUAAGAAACCUUGGAGGGGGAGCAAAGACUGUCAGAAUUUGCAGAGAGGCCAGGGAAAACCCCACCCUUUUUUUCCCUGAUUGGAUGUUCUUUCCCACUUGGGUGGCCCACUAUCCCCGGCCAAUGGAAGAUGGCCCAGUUUUAGCAGGCACCUAUCUGAAGCUGGGCCACAGGCCACGUGGCUCUCCCUUCUAUGAGAGGGUAGGGAGUUUGAGUGUGCAGCCCGAGGCUGUAGGCCAAGAACGAGUCCUCCUAAGGAUUCCUGUUGGAGAUGGGUCUAGAUGACCAUUUGGUUUGUCCCAGCUUGAUCCAAGGUGGUUCAGUGGGGAGCAACCCUGAACAUGGACUCUCAGCAAACCCGACUUCCAGACUCAUUAACGAGCUAGCCUUUCUCAAUGACACAGGCCUGUCCUUGUCCUAGAUGGAGGACUUGUGGGUGGAUGACCUGCCUGUUCCUCAACCACAUGAUGUGUGGCUCCAGGCUUUCCCUCUGCAGGGAGGAGAGGAGCUAGGGUACCAGGGAACCUGUUGCAGCCAACCAAGGCUAUCCCAGCCUCUACUUGAUGCCUGAAUUUCCUGCAUGGCUGUUUCCUUGAUAUCUUGUGUGUGUGUGUGUGUGUG